rnacentral:rRNA from 1 species
ACACAUGCACGUCCAGCGGCAGCAGCAGAAGCUUGCUUCUCUUGCAUAGCGGCGGACGGGUGAGUAAUGCCUAGGCAAUCUGCCUGGUAGUGGGGGAUAACGUUCGGAAACGGACGCUAAUACCGCAUACGUCCUACGGGAGAAAGCAGGGGACCUUCGGGCCUUGCGCUAUCAGAUGAGCCUAGGCGAUUACCUAGUUGGUGAGGUAAUGGCUCACCAAGGCGACGAUCCGUAACUGGUCUGAGAGGAUGAUCAGUCACACUGGAACUGAGACACGGUCCAGACUCCUACGGGAGGCAGCAGUGGGGAAUAUUGGACAAUGGGCGAAAGCCUGAUCCAGCCAUGCCGCGUGUGUGAAGRAAGGU